UACAGAGGUCUCAAGCGUUGUUCGGAUUCAUUGGGCGUAAAGGGUGCGUAGGCGGCGCGGUAAGUCGGGUGUGAAAUCCCGGGGCUCAACCCCGGAACUGCAUUUGAAACUGCCUUGCUCGAGUACUGGAGAGGAGACUGGAAUUACGGUGUAGCAGUGAAAUGCGUAGAUAUCGUAAGGAAGACCAGUGGCGAAGGCGAGUCUCUGGACAGUUACUGACACUGAGGCACGAGGGCCAGGGGAGCAAACGGG
rnacentral:rRNA from 1 species